GCGAACGGACGAGAAGCUUGCUUCUCUGAUGUUAGCGGCGGACGGGUGAGUAACACGUGGAUAACCUACCUAUAAGACUGGGAUAACUUCGGGAAACCGGAGCUAAUACCGGAGUAAUAUUUUGGACCGCAUGGUUCACAAGUGAAAGACGGUCUUGCUGUCACUUAUAGAUGGAUCCGCGCUGCAUUAGCUAGUUGGUAAGGUAACGGCUUACCAAGGCAACGAUGCAUAGCCGACCUGAGAGGGUGAUCGGCCACACUGGAACUGAGACACAGUCCAGACUCCUACGGGAGGCAGCAGUAGGGAAUCGUUCGCAAUGGGCGAAAGCCUGACGGAGCAGCGCCGCGUGAGUGAUGAAGGUCUUCGGUUCCUUUUACUCUGUUAUUAGGGAAGAACAUUAUGUGUAAGUAUCUGUGCUACAUCUUGACGGUACCUUAUCAGAAAGCCACGGCUAACUACGUGCCAGCUAGCCGCGGUAAUACGUAGGUGGCAAGCGUUAUCCGGAAUUAUUGGGCGUAAAGCGCGCGUGGGCGGUUUUUUAAGUCUGAUGUGAAAGCCCACGGCUCAACCGUGGAGGGUCAUUGGAAUACUGGAAUACUUGAGUGCAGAAGAGGAAAGUGGUAUUCCAUGUGUAGCGGU
rnacentral:rRNA from 1 species